rnacentral:rRNA from 1 species
CAGCAGCCGCGGUAAAACGGAGGAUCCAAGCGUUAUCCGGAAUCAUUGGGUUUAAAGGGUCCGUAGGCGGUCUUGUAAGUCAGUGGUGAAAGCCCAUCGCUCAACGGUGGAACGGCCAUUGAUACUGCAGGACUUGAAUUAUUGGGAAGUAACUAGAAUAUGUAGUGUAGCGGUGAAAUGCUUAGAGAUUACAUGGAAUACCAAUUGCGAAGGCAGGUUACUACCAAUUGAUUGACGCUGAUGGACGAAAGCGUGGGUAGCGAACAGGAUUAGAUACCCGGGUAGUCCCUGUCUCUUAUAC